rnacentral:rRNA from 2 species
CGAUUGAAUGAGCCGAUGUCGGAUUAGCUAGUUGGCGGGGUAAAGGCCCACCAAGGCGACGAUCCGUAGCUGGUCUGAGAGGAUGAUCAGCCACACUGGAACUGAGACACGGUCCAGACUCCUACGGGAGGCAGCAGUGGGGAAUAUUGGACAAUGGGCGCAAGCCUGAUCCAGCCAUACCGCGUGGGUGAAGAAGGCCUUCGGGUUGUAAAGCCCUUUUGUUGGGAAAGAAAUCCAGCCGGCUAAUACCUGGUUGGGAUGACGGUACCCAAAGAAUAAGCACCGGCUAACUUCGUGCCAGCAGCCGCGGUAAUACGAAGGGUGCAAGCGUUACUCGGAAUUACUGGGCGUAAAGCGUGCGUAGGUGGUUGUUUAAGUCUGUUGUGAAAGCCCUGGGCUCAACCUGGGAACUGCAGUGGAAACUGGACGACUAGAGUGUGGUAGAGGGUAGCGGAAUUCCUGGUGUAGCAGUGAAAUGCGUAGAGAUCAGGAGGAACAUCCAUGGCGAAGGCAGCUACCUGGACCAACACUGACACUGAGGCACGAAAGCGUGGGGAGCAAACAGGA